UUGCUGUUGCCCAGCGUGAGCACAAAUGCCAGCAAUAAAGGUCUCUCCUGCUUCCCUCCAAUUGGGAGGUCAAGGUCAUCUUAAUGUUUCUGUUUGCUUACACAGGUACUGAAGGAUCUCAGGCCACUCAAGCCUUACAACAGAAACCCACAUCAAUUUGUAAAUGUCAACCAAUUACACAGUCGCCCCAGAAGCACGUUAACUGAAGAAGUUCCCAAAUGAAGGCUCAGGAAAUCCUCUCACUUUGAUUACUCAAGGUCUCAAUUUGAGAUGUAUAUUGGUAGUCUUUUUUUAUUGCUAAUACGAUAUAUGGGUGAUGCAAGCACACUUAUUCAAAAUCCCUGGGCAGAAACAGAGCUCUCUCUGCAUACAUCAUUGCAUUGUCAUGCCAUUCCGUUACUCCCUUAACACAGAAGUGCACAUUUCAUGAAACCCAGAUAUGACAUUUAGGACAAAUUCAUCUUUACCCUCCAGAGCUGCAGGGCUUCUGCAGCAAUUCCUGGCAUCAGAUGAAUGAGAUGCAUACCUUGGCAGCAGAGACAAUCACUAAUGGAAAAACCAGCAUUCAAAUGGUGUAGUGUGGAAGCAUCUAAACUGAGCCAAUUAAAGCUGAAAAAUGAAUUCUCAGCCAUGCAAUCCUAUGUAUGUCUGCUCAGACUUUGGCCACACUGAGUUCAGUGGGACAUGGCCUCAGCCAGCAUAGCCCUCCCAACUCUUAAAUGUUAGAUUAUAUUUUGUUCUGAUAGGAACUUGCAUGGGUCAGGCACUCCCGCUCCUGAUGUCUGACUCCCAGACAGGACAUUUGUUGUUGUUGUUUAGUCAUUUAGUCAUGUCCAACUCUUCGUGACCCCAUGGACCAGAGCACGCCAGGCACUCCUGUCUUACACUGCCUCCCGCAGUUUGGUCAAACUCAUGCUGGUAGCUUCAAGAACACUGUCCAACCAUCUUGUCCUCUGCCGUCCCCUUCUCCUUGUGCCAUCAAUUUUUCCCAACAUCAGGGUCUUUUCCAGGGAGUCUUCUCUUCUCAUGAGGUGGCUAAAGUAUUGGAGCCUCAGCUUCAGAAUCUGUCCUUCCAGUGAGCACUCAGGGCUGAUUUCCUUCAGAAUGGAUAGGUCUGACCUUCUUGCAGUCCAUGGGACUCUCAAGAGUCUCUUCCAGCACCACAGUUCAAAAGCAUCAAUUCUUUGGCGAUUAGCCUUCUUUAUGGUCCAGCUCUCACUUCCAAACAUCACUACUGGGAAAACCAUAGCUUUAACUAUAUGGACCUUUGUCGGCAAGGUGAUGUCUCUACUUUUUAAGAUGCUGUCUAGGUUUGUCAUCGCUUUUUCCCCAAGAAGCAGGCAUCUUUUAAUUUCGUGACGGCUGUCACCAUCUGCAGUGAUCAUGGAGCCCAAGAAAGUAAAAUCUCUCAGUGCCUCCAUUUCUUCCCCUUCUAUUUGCCAGGAGGUGAUGGGACCAGUGGCCAUCUUAGUUUAGGACAACAUUACUCUGGGUCAAAUCAGACCACAGAUUUAUUGAUUACAAAUGUAGAGGUUUUACAUAGGCAUUGAGUAUAACUAUUGAACCAGUAGCCCACCUGCUGGGGUAUCCCUUUUCGGGGUCAGCCCAGGGCAAAAGGGUGCUAGGACAAGGAGGAAAGCCUUCAUGGGACUGCUGCCUUGAGGAAUGCUAUGGCCUUUGCCCCUGCCUGGGUGCCUGGACAGGAGCAACUUUAAUGGGAUACUCCUGCAGUCUGGAAGGGCAGGCAGAAACUCCACCAAAGACUAAAAUGUAUCCAAAGCCUAAACUGCAAAAGUUGUGACAAUUGCUAUGAGGUAGGCAAAACCAAGGGACAAAACCAAUUAGUCUGGAUAUAUUAGGCAUUCACUAUUAGAUUAAAUUCCUUGCUUCCAAGAAGCUCAUUGUGGCACUCGUGGCUCUUCCUCUCACCAUGUUCUCUUUACAUCAACCCUCUAGUUAGGCUGAGAGACAGUGAUUGACCCAGGAUCUCUCCAUGAGUUUCAUGGCAAAUUAAAUCCUGGUCUCCUGGGUCCUAAUCCACUUAAAAGCUCUCCACCUUAUUGCACAUUCUAUAAAAAAUAUGUAGAAGUCAACAAACUGGGGGAGGGGAACAAUAUCUUCCCUUUAGUCUGGAAAUUUAUGUUAGCACCUUUAAAUCUAACUAAGGAAGGAAGCAUAUGAGCAAUAGUAAAUAAUUUCUGAAGUGCCCCAUCUUCCACACAGGAGUGAUUUAGGAUGUUCAAUAUCUGUGCAUCUUCGCCAGCUGUUGCUCAUAAUUUCUGGCACAGUGCAAAAACUUAUGACAGCAGUCGCAGUUCUUUCACCACACUGGUUGCAAACUGAAAGAACUGUGUCUCUGCAUAAACUUAUAAUGGGUGACACAUGAACCAGUACAACAGCACAAACUGGUAAAAACAGCUAAACAUUUGAGCACCUAAAGGCAGGACUUAAGUUCUGUACCAGCAAACACCAGGUGACUUGGUAAUACAAGCCAUCUUGACUAUGAGUCCUGGAAGACCCGCUCACAGUCUUGAAGGCCUUUUUCUGUCUGGCCUGGAAGGACCAGCAACAGAAGCUGAGGCUGCUGAAGAGGCCAGAGGCCAUCUUGGCUGUCGCUUACUGCUGGUCCAGGUUGUUGAGCCUGAAUUUCCAUAGCCACCGGCCAACACGAACCACCAUUGGCAGGAUUAGCAGCAGCAGAUAUGUUCUAUGGUUUUAAUAAUAUUUUAUUUUCUUGUUAAGUAUGUUACUUUGAAUGCAUACUUAUUUGACUCCCUUCAAUAAUAUUGUGUUCUGGAUUGUUUUAUUUGAUGUUUUAAUGUGUUGUAAACCACUUGGAGAUUUUUUUUGGUAAAAAUAUAAAGUGGUAUAGAAAUAUAAACUAAAAUAAACUAAGCUAAGCUAAGCUAAAAUAGCCCUGAAUGGGAUUGGUGCAGCCUAUUAUGAUCCCUGGCCUGCCAUUGUCCCCAUUCUUUUAGACAGGGACAGGGGACAAUGCCAGCCUGUUGCAGAGAUUUAUGCUGAUUGGAAUUUUGUAAAAGGGGGGAAAAUGUCAUGGACAUUUUUAAUUACAUGUUAAAUGACAGGUGUUUUAAGAUACAAUAAUUUACUAUUAAAAUACGUUUCAAUGUGUUAUUUAUUU